CUACACAUGCNAGUCGAACGGUAACAGGAAACAAGCUUGCUKCUUYGCUGACGAGUGGCGGACGGGUGAGUGAUGUCUGGGAAACUGCCUGAUGGAGGGGGAUAACUACUGGAAACGGUAGCUAAUACCGCAUAACGUCGCAAGACCAAAGAGGGGGACCYUCGGGCCUCUUGCCAUCGGAUGUGCCCAGAUGGGAUUAGCUUGUUGGUGGGGUAACGGCUCACCUAGGCGACGAUCCCUAGCUGGUCUGAGAGGAUGACCAGCCACACUGGAACUGAGACACGGUCCAGACUCCUACGGGAGGCAGCAGUGGGGAAUAUUGCACAAUGGGCGCAAGCCUGAUGCAGCCAUGCCGCGUGUAUGAAGAAGGCCUUCGGGUUGUAAAGUACUUUCAGCGGGGAGGAAGGGAGUAAAGUUAAUACCUUUGCUCAUUGANCGUNNCNNCGCAGAAGAAGCACCGGCUAACUCCGUGCCAGCAGCCGCGGUAAUACGGAGGGUGCAAGCGUUAAUCGGAAUUACUGGGCGUAAAGCGCACGCAGGCGGNUUGNUAAGUCAGANGUGAAAUCCCCGGGCUCNACCUGGGAACUGCAUCUGAUACUGGCAAGCUUGANUCUCGUANANGGGGGUAGAAUUCCAGUGUAGCGGUGAAAUGCGUANAGAUCUGGANGAAUACCGGUGGCGAANGCNGCCCCCUGGACNAANACUGACGCUCNGUGCGAAAGCGUGGGGAGCAACAGGAUUANAUACCCUGGUAGUCCACGCCGUAACGAUGUC
rnacentral:rRNA from 1 species